rnacentral:rRNA from 1 species
UACGAAGGGGGCUAGCGUUGCUCGGAAUCACUGGGCGUAAAGGGUGCGUAGGCGGGUCUUUAAGUCAGGGGUGAAAUCCUGGAGCUCAACCUCCAGAACUGCCUUUGAUACUGAGGAUCUUGAGUUCGGGAGAGGUGAGUGGAACUGCGAGUGUAGAGGUGAAAUUCGUAGAUAUUCGCAAGAACACCAGUGGCGAAGGCGGCUCACUGGCCCGAUACUGACGCUGAGGCACGAAAGCGUGGGGAGCAAACAGG